rnacentral:misc_RNA from 1 species
GUGAAUCAUCGAAUUUUUGAACGCAAAUUGCACUUUCUAGUAUUCCGGAAAGUAUGCCUGUUUGAGGGUCAGUUUAAUAAAAAUCGGGGUUGUUUCUUCCUUUCGUUGUGACGCGUCGGAAUGUGGGCGUUUUUCCUUUGGUUAAGUUACUUAAAAUUUUUGCAUGAUUUUCGAACGUAUUUAAAUCUCUUACGUACUAUGGAGAUAACGAAUG